ensembl:lncRNA
CAGCAGGCCCCUUUCCAUGGGGGGGCUGGGGUCAGCACAGACAUUGACGCCCCCACGUCUCCCCCAGGUUGGAGUCGAGCACCUACGUCAGCGUCUCGUCGGAGAUGCCGGAGCGCCGCGCCAUUGCCCACCGCUACCAGGUGCAGAAUUUGGGGCCCCCUACUGUGCCCGUCGCUGUGACCUUUGAACUCCCCAUCCGGGCCGAACUUGGCUUCAUCUGGGACGUAUCCGUGAACCUCAGCAGUGGGGAACAGGAGUUCACAUGCACCCCACCCCUGACGCUCCGAAUGGGGACUGCAACCCAGAUCCCAAAGGAACCAGUGACAGUAAGAUCAGAGCUGAGAUGCAGCCACUUCUGGGGCUGGGCACGUGGGGACCCCUCACCUGGUGCUGGG